rnacentral:rRNA from 1 species
GAUGAACGCUGGCGGCGUGCCUAAUACAUGCAAGUCGAGCGAACAGACGAGGAGCUUGCUCCUCUGACGUUAGCGGCGGACGGGUGAGUAACACGUGGAUAACCUACCUAUAAGACUGGGAUAACUUCGGGAAACCGGAGCUAAUACCGGAUAAUAUAUUGAACCGCAUGGUUCAAUAGUGAAAGACGGUUUUGCUGUCACUUAUAGAUGGAUCCGCGCCGCAUUAGCUAGUUGGUAAGGUAACGGCUUACCAAGGCGACGAUGCGUAGCCGACCUGGGAGGGUGUGCGGCAACCCGGAAACAGGACACCGGCCCAACCCCCACGGGGAGGCAGCGGGAGGAAUACUCCAGAAUGGGGGCAAAGCCGAACGAGCCACACCGGGGGGGUGAAUGAGGGUUUUGGGAUGGAAAAACCUUUUUUUUAGGAAAAAAAAAAUGUGUAAGUAACUAUGCACGUCUGAGCGGUACCAAAUCAAAAAGCCAGGGCAAACUACGU